rnacentral:rRNA from 1 species
UGAGGAAUAUUGGGCAAUGCCCGCAAGGGUGACCCAGCAACGCCGCGUGGAGGAUGAAUGUCGUAAGAUUGUAAACUCCUGUUAGAGGGGAAGAAUAGUACCGGUUGGACCGGUAUAUGACUGUACCCUCAGAGAAAGCCCCGGCUAACUACGUGCCAGCAGCCGCGGUAAUACGUAGGGGGCAAGCGUUGUCCGGAUUUACUGGGUGUAAAGGGCGCGCAGGCGGGAUAAAAAGUCAGUGGUGAAAUCCUACAGCUUAACUGAAGAACUGCCUUUGAUACUUUUAUUCUUGAGUUCGGGAGAGAGAGACGGAAUUCCAGGUGUAGUGGUGAAAUACGUAGAUAUCUGGAAGAACACCAGUUGCGAAGGCGGUCUCUUGGUCCGACACUGACGCUGAGGCGCGAAAGCGUGGGGAGCAAACA